rnacentral:rRNA from 1 species
GAAAGUAAAUAAGGGCGUAUGGAGGAUGCCUAGGCUCUUGGAGGCGAAGAAAGACGUGAUAAGCUGCGAUAAGCUAGGGGGAGAGGCAAAUACUCAUUAUAUCCCUAGAUUUCUGAAUGGGACAACCCAGUAUGUUGAAGACAUAUUAUCUACCGUAAGGUAAGAAGCAAACCCACUGAACUGAAACAUCUAAGUAAGUGGAGGAGGAGAAAAUAAAUAAUGAUUCCGUAAGUAGUGGCGAGCGAACGCGGAACAGCCCAAACCAGUGUUGUUACGGCAACACUGGGGUUAUAGGACUACAAUGUGGACUUAUAAAUUAUAGUGGAACAGGUUUGGAAAGGCCGAUCAAAGAGGGUGAUAAUCCCGUACACGACAUAGUUUAUAUACCUAGUAGUAUCCUGAGUACUGCGGGGUCGGAGACGCCCUGUAGGAAUUUGCCGGCACCAUCCGGUAAGGCUAAAUACUCCCAAGAGACCGAUAGUGAACUAGUACUGUGAAGGAAAGGUGAAAAGAACCGCGAAUAGCGGAGUGAAAUAGAUCCUGAAACCAUGCGCUUACAAGCGGUCGGAGCCCUCAAGUGGGGUGACGGCGUGCCUUUUGUAUAAUGAGCCUACGAGUUACUCUUCAUUGGCAAGGUUAAGGGCUUAAGGUCCGUUAACCGCAGCGAAAGCGAGUCUGAAUAGGGCGUAUAGUCAGUGGAGGUAGACGCGAAACCUUGUGAUCUACCCAUGGCCAGGUUGAAGCUCCGAUAACACGGAGUGGAGGACCGAACCGAUAAGCGUUGAAAAGCUUCCGGAUGAGCUGUGGGUAGGGGUGAAAGGCUAAUCAAACUGGGAAAUAGCUCGUACUCCCCGAAAUGCCUUUAGGGGCAGCGUAGAGGUAAAGUUUUAUAGAGGUAGAGCUACUGAUUGGAUGCGGGGGAAGCGAUUCCUACCAAGUCCUGACAAACUCCGAAUGCUAUAAAAUAUACUCUGCAGUGAGCCAUUGGGUGCUAAGGUCCAAUGACGAAAGAGAGAGAACUCAGACCAACAGCUAAGGUCCCCAAAUCUAUUCUAAGUUGAUAUAACGUGGUGCGACUGCAUUGACAGCCAGGAUGUUUGCUUGGAAGCAGCCAUUCAUUUAAAGAGUGCGUAACAGCUCACUGGUCGAGCGGUCGUGCGUGGACGAUACUCGGGCAUCAAGAAUAGUACCGAAGCUUUGGACUUAAAUUUAUUUAAGUGGUAGGGGAGCAUUCUAACUGCGUAGAAGAAGUUGCGUGAGCGCUAUUGGAGCGGUUAGAAAAGCAAAUGUAGGCAUAAGUAACGAUAAAACAGGCGAGAAACCUGUUCGCCGAUAGACUAAGGUUUCCUGAACAACGAUAAUCGGUUCAGGGUCAGUCGGGACCUAAGGCGAAGCCGAAGGGCGUAGUCGAUGGACAACUGGUUAAUAUUCCAGUACUUGUAUUACUGCGAUGGAGAGACGAAGGCGCGUAAGGUCAGCGAACUGACGGAAUAGUUCGUUUAAAUGCGUAGGUUUAGGUUAUGUAGGCAAAUCCGCAUAGCUUCUGAAACAUGAAAGUACCCAGAGUCGUCAGACAAAGGGAUUGACCCCAAGCAUACUUCCAAGAAAAUCUUCUAAGCUUCAGGUAAAUACAACCCGUACCGCAAACCGACACAGGUAGUCAAGUAGAAUAUACUAAGGCGCUCGAGUGAUCCGCGGCUAAGGAACUAGGCAAAUUAACCCUGUAACUUCGGGAAAAAGGGUGCCCCCAGCAAUGGGGGCCGCAGAGAAAUGGCGGUGGCGACUGUUUAACAAAAACACAGGGCUUUGCAAAACUGAAAGGUGACGUAUAAGGCCUGACACCUGCCCGGUGCCGGAAGGUUAAGAGGAGAGGUUAGCAGCAAUGCGAAGCUUUGAAUUGAAGCCCCGGUAAACGGCGGCCGUAACUAUAACGGUCCUAAGGUAGCGAAAUUCCUUGUCGGGUAAGUUCCGACCUGCACGAAUGGUGUAACGAUCUGGGCGCUGUCUCAGCC